rnacentral:lncRNA from 1 species
GUCCCGCUGCAAAGCUUUCUCUGGUCCUUCUGGGAUCAUCAUCUAGGUAUCAUUGCCUGCCAGACUUCCAUCAUCUCUUGUCAGUCACCGCGGUUGCCUCGUCCACCAGACGCUGUAGUCUCCUUCCGUGGUAUAGUCACCGGCCCUGGAGCAGUGCUAAACCUCCGUGGGGUUCUUCAGGCAGAUUCUCUCCUUUGUUCUAAAGGCAAAGGCCAUGCUGCAGAGCCAGCAGCUAUCUGGCAGUUGCUACUCAGAUCCCAGUCAAUGACUUCUUCUACCAAGGACUGAGAUAACUUUCAUUCCACACACGCACUCUUCAAGUCUUCCUCUGCCACUAACCUUGAUGAUGAAGCAACUUAUU